rnacentral:rRNA from 1 species
CUACAGGCUUAACACAUGCAAGUCGAGGGGCAGCAUGGUCUUAGCUUGCUAAGGCCGAUGGCGACCGGCGCACGGGUGAGUAACGCGUAUCCAACCUGCCUUACACUCUUGGACAGCCUUCUGAAAGGGAGAUUAAUACAAGAUGUUAUCAUGAGUAAGCAUUUUCGCAUGAUUAAAGGUUUACCGGUGUAAGAUGGGGAUGCGUUCCAUUAGAUAGUAGGCGGGGUAACGGCCCACCUAGUCUUCGAUGGAUAGGGGUUCUGAGAGGAAGGUCCCCACAUUGGAACUGAGACACGGUCCAAACUCCUACGGGAGGCAGCAGUGAGGAAUAUUGGUCAAUGGACGAGAGUCUGAACCAGCCAAGUAGCGUGAAGGAUGAAGGUUCUAUGGAUUGUAAACUUCUUUUAUACGGGAAUAAACGAAUCCACGUGUGGAUUUUUGCAUGUACCGUAUGAAUAAGGAUCGGCUAACUCCGUGCCAGCAGCCGCGGUAAUACGGAGGAUCCGAGCGUUAUCCGGAUUUAUUGGGUUUAAAGGGAGCGUAGAUGGGUUGUUAAGUCAGUUGUGAAAGUUUGCGGCUCAACCGUAAAAUUGCAAUUGAUACUGGCAGUCUUGAGUACAGUUGAGGUAGGCGGAAUUCGUGGUGUAGCGGUGAAAUGCUUAGAUAUCACGAAGAACUCCGAUUGCGAAGGCAGCUUACUAACCUGUAACUGACAUUGAUGCUCGAAAGUGUGGGUAUCAAACAGGAUUAGAUACCCUGGUAGUCCACACGGUAAACGAUGAAUACUCGCUGUUUGCGAUAUACUGCAAGCGGCCAAGCGAAAGCGUUAAGUAUUCCACCUGGGGAGUACGCCGGCAACGGUGAAACUCAAAGGAAUUGACGGGGGCCCGCACAAGCGGAGGAACAUGUGGUUUAAUUCGAUGAUACGCGAGGAACCUUACCCGGGCUUAAAUUGCAGAUGAAUUACGGUGAAAGCCGUAAGCCGCAAGGCAUCUGUGAAGGUGCUGCAUGGUUGUCGUCAGCUCGUGCCGUGAGGUGUCGGCUUAAGUGCCAUAACGAGCGCAACCCUUGUUGUCAGUUACUAACAGGUUCCGCUGAGGACUCUGACAAGACUGCCAUCGUAAGUUGUGAGGAAGGUGGGGAUGACGUCAAAUCAGCACGGCCCUUACGUCCGGGGCUACACACGUGUUACAAUGGGGGGUACAGAGGGCCGCUACCACGCGAGUGGAUGCCAAUCCCCAAAACCUCUCUCAGUUCGGACUGGAGUCUGCAACCCGACUCCACGAAGCUGGAUUCGCUAGUAAUCGCGCAUCAGCCACGGCGCGGUGAAUACGUUCCCGGGCCUUGUACACACCGCCCGUCAAGCCAUGGGAGCCGGGGGUACCUGAAGUGCGUAACCGCGAGGAGCGCCCUAGGGUAAAACUGGUGACUGGGGCUAAG